UACGGGGGUUGCAAGCGUUGUUCGAAAUUACUGGGCGUAAAGCGCGCGUAGGCGGCAUGGUAAGUCCUGUGUGAAAGCCUUCGGCUUAACCGGAGAAUGUCACAGGAUACUGCCCGGCUAGAGUGUGAGAGGGGAGAGCGGAAUUCCCAGUGUAGUGGUGAAAUACGUAGAUAUUGGGAGGAACACCGGCGGCGAAAGCGGCUCUCUGGCUCACAACUGACGCUGAGGUGCGAAAGCGUGGGGAGCAAACAGG
rnacentral:rRNA from 1 species